CUUUCAAAUGGGGCCUCGGCGCGGUGGCCGCUCCCCCUGCGCGCCCGGGCGCGGUGGCCCCCUCCCCAGGCUGCCGGGCCGCUGCCUGCAGGAAUUUACAAUCCGGCGAUGGGGGAGCGGGCCUGGUCUCCAUGGAGACGGCUUCCCCGGGAGCAGGGAGGUCAGGCGCAGACCGCGCGCAAUCAAUGGAUCAAUGCAAGCUCCGCUCGGCUCCAGACCAAACAGCACCGGGCUCCGACUCGUCCUCGCUCCCCUAGGAAAGAGUCGGGGAGCGAGGGUGCGUCCCCGCGCUCGCUCGCGAGGACGGCCGUGCGGCGCCAGGUUUGAACGCACACCUCCACCCGAGACAAAGAGGGUGCGAGGUGUUGGGGAGGCUGGGGCAGACGUGGACACACGGACACACGGGCACUCGGGCGUGUCCACCGACACAGCCUGACAGGGGACAUAGGACCUCGGAACACACCGCCUCCGACACCAGGCCGAGUAACAACCUCUCAACUUUUACACCUACCACACCCCCAACCUCAAGACUCAGUCCCCAUUCCUAGAUGCGAGUCCACUUUGAGGACCAAAAAGAAAGUAGCCUCCGCCUGCUAAAACUGCCAGCUCCAGGGCAGACUCCCUUGCAGUUAAGGCCUUGGAGGGAAAGAGGAAAGACCUCUUGAAAGGCUAUGAAGACUUUCUUGGAGUGUGAGGCUGUGUUCAGAAUGAGACCAGGCCAGGUCCAGUUUUCUACAGGGAAGAUGCUGCUAGGACCCAGACUAGCCUCACAGAGCCCUCAGCGUACCCAGGAGGAAGAGGCAAUGACCAAGAUCUCCUCAAAGGUGAUUCAGUUCUGAGACCUUCCAUAUUGGCUGCCCACAUCAGCUGGGGCAAGGGGAGGACUUUGUUGGCAAUGGUGCUGUCCACCAGGGAGAAGAGCUGAGCCCUUCCUUUCCUAGGGAUUCAGUGGAAAAGUAGGAUGGAAACAGACUCAAACUUCUUAUCCUGGGAUGAAGAUUACUUUUGAACAAGUCAUAUGUCAAUGGGCCUCAGUUUCCUCAGAAAACAAGAGGGUAGUGGAUUCACUCAGUGGUGGAAAGGGGGCAGUGCCCCAAGGAAGCCUGGGGGAGGAGUCCUGGAGAACCUUGCAUAGCAUCAAAGAUGACCUUUGGGAUGGGAGCACAUAGAUCAUGGGAAUGGUGUGGAGGCCACAGCAAGGCUGGGUCAGAUGAUUGAGGUCCCUCCCAUCCUUGUCACUCUAAGAUGCCCUCCCUCCUUCAUUCCACUGGCAAAACCCUCCCCUUGCAGCGGUUUUGCCUGCUGCCACCAAUUAUGUGUAGGGUUGGAGGACAAGUGUAAAUUUGCCAUCUUUUUUGCCCCCAACAAGAGAAUGGUUUCAAAAAAGGAGAAAGAAGUGGAGGUUGCCGGACGGUGUCUGUGAUCUCCAUGGGGGCACAGAGAGAGAGAGCCGAGGAGCUCCCCCACGGCUGGGAGGGGAGAUGGCACGCUGCCUUGCUUUGCUCUGCCUCUGCCUUCUUUGGACACUAGUGUAGCUCCUCCGGGUCCCUGGGGGGUUGGAGGGAGGGCCCCUACAUCCUCCUUGAGGUGGGCAAGGAGGAUUCUAUAGGGGGAUUAUGGGUUAUUUGGGGCCUUCAGUUCAGGGUGAUUUCCCGGCCCUCUGAGUACGGAUAUUGCCCUGGCUUUCAGGGAGGGAGGUUUGGUGGGUUCUUCCACCUAAGCCACUAUGUCUCUGGAAGAUUGAUUUUUAUGCCCCGUAGUUGCCUUUUAUCUCAUCCUACCAGUUUUCCUCUGAUGAUUUCCUCUUUUCCUCUUGGACCAGAUGAGCUACUCCUCCACAUCUGGGCAAAAAGAGGCAGUUCCCUGCUCUUCUCUCCUGCUGCCACUCACCCAAUCUGAUUCCAGAGUACCCUCAGCCCUUCAGACUAUUCUACAGGAGUAGAAGCAGGGCUUAUAUCACCAGGACACUGUGAAUUGAGGUGCUGGUCCAAUUCAUAUUGCCUUUUGCCCUGUCCUCUUCUGCAGGGACUCAGUUGGACAGUAACUCAGGAAGAUGACAGGGAAGGAACAACAAGAUGGCACUUGCAAGUGGUACUACAAAAGCAGCAGCAGCACGUGCCAUAUCAUAACCAGCAGGGGCAAAAUGUCCAGUGGGCUCUGGGCCUCCUACACGCACCUCUAAGGUUGCAGUUUGCUUUGGGGCUUCAUUUUCCUUCAGGGAUGCUUCUGACAUUUGUUUCAUUCUACUUGCUCCUGAAAAUGUCUGAGGAGAAGACUGGCAGGGGUCAGGGAUCCCCUAGCUGAUAGAUCUUGGUUCAGUCCUGUUUAGGGAUCCUUCUGCCAGGGCCCACCAGGCUCAGGGGUUUCCCCUCCCCUGCAAAGUCUCCUUCCAUGAGCGUUGCUUUUUCUUUCUGCUCCUCAGUUUCCCUAUAUAUAAAAUGAGUCCAAUGACCCUACCUCGAUGGGCAGUGCCAUAUAGUCUAAUGGAGAGCACAUACAAGCUGGAAGUAGAUUGCCCUGAGAUCAUUGUUAGGCCCUACCAUUUCCCAGCCAUCUAUUUUUCUUGGUGAGUUGUUUCACUUUUCUGAGCCUCAGCUUCCUCACCUGGAAAAUAGAUAUGGUUAUAUGACCUCAAAAGUGUCCGUCCAUCAGUGUCUGUGUGGGCUCUAAACAAACCUGCAAUUCAAAUCUCAGCUCUGGUGCUUUCUACCUCUGUGACUUCAGGGAAAUUACUCAAUCUCAGGGAGUUUCAGUUUUCUCAUCUGACAUAGGGGAUAAAAACCUCGUAGGGUUAUUGGUGUUAAUUAAAUGAGAUAAUAUAUAGAAAACACCUGGCACUGGCACAUGUAGGCAUUUAAUAGGUAGAGGCUAUUGUUGUUCUUUCCACUACUUCUCAGAAGAACAAAAGCCCA
rnacentral:lncRNA from 1 species